rnacentral:lncRNA from 1 species
AGGUCCACGGAGGAGUGACUUCUAAGCAAGAAUCUGAAAAAAAUGAGGAUAUCUAAGGAGGGAACAAAUGGUUCAAAAGCCCUAUAAUUGCAAGCAGGCAUGAUGAAGCAAUUGUAGUUGUCCUGACUCUCAACACCGUGGAACUCAAAGGAGAUGGAAAGAUUCUUUCUCUCCCUCAUAUAUUUUCUCUCUGUCUAUAUAUAUAGAAUAUGAGACAUUUCCCUAAUCAUUAUGUGUAAUUACAAUUACAUAUAUAUAUGUAUGUAAUAUAUAAACAUAUAUAUGUAAUUGUAAUUACACAUAAUGAUUAGGGAAAUGUCUCAUAUUCUACUCAAAAAUAAGCAAUAUAGCAAUUACUGUUUUUUACAUUUUACAGUUACAGUUUCAGAGAAAGCUUUCCCCCACUCAAGGAUUAUUCUAAUGUCAGAGUAGAAUAAAAAAUAAGUGCAGCGAUGCUGACUCUUCCAAGCUUAACAUUUCUCACAAGUCAAUUAGCUUUGUACUGGGAGGAGGGCGUGAAGGGCUGCUUGCGGUAGUUGUGUAGCAGCAGCACAAUGGCCGCAGACAAGGAAAACAGUUUCUAGGAAUUCCUCGUAUAUAAUUUUAUAUUUUUGACAAGAUUAAUGACCCAUGCUCCCUUCCUCUCCAUUUCUUUUUUUGGAAUUCUGUUGGUAUGUAGUUACUAUAUUUUAUUAAAGGAAAUUAGCCUUAUCUCUUAUUAUAUUUUAUUAAAGAAAAUUAUUAUAUUAUUCCUUUAUAUUUUUAUUAAAGGAUUUUAUUAUUAUUAAAGGAAAUUAGCCUUAUCUCUUAUUAUAUUUUUUAUGACCUUCAAAGUAGUGUCUCUGCUUAAAAGUGUACCCUGGCCGGGCGUGGUGGCUCACACCUGUAAUUCCAGCACUUUGGGAGGCCGAGGCGGGUGGAUCACGAGGUCAGGAGAUCGAGACCAUCCUGGCUAACACGGUGAAACCCCGUCUGUACUAAAAAUACAAAAAAUUAGCAGGGCAUAGUGGCGGGCACCUGUAGUCCCAGCUACUCAGGAGGCUCAGGCAGGAGAAUGGCGUGAACCCGGGAGACGGAGCUUGCGGUGAGCUGAGAUCGCACCGCUGCACUCCAGCCUGGGCGACAGAGCAAGACUCCGUCUCAAAAAAAAAAAAAAAGUGUACCCUGAAGCACACAUCAAGCGACAUGUAGAGUUCAUAAAUUCUGGCCAAAUGGUCAUACCUCAAACCUCAUCAGCAGUAAGGCUCUUUACUUGCACUGACAAAUAUGAACGCUGGGGAAUUUGGAAAUGAUAUAUAAUAUAAAAUAUUAUAUAUAUAAUAGAUAUAUAAUAUAUAAUAUAUAUAAUACAUAUAUAUUAUAUAUGUAAUAGAUAUACAAUAUAUAAUAUAUAAUAGAUAUAUAAUAUUAUAUAUAAUAGAUAUAUAAUAUAUAACUUUCCAUGUGAUUUUCCUCUUAAUUUUUUUCUAGCUGAUCCAUAUGAAUUCCUCUUAUUAAGAAAAAUAAAGCAUCCAGGAUUCAAUGAAGAACUGACUAUCACCUUGUUAAUCAUUCAGAAACAUGUUGCACGCUUAAGCCAUUUUUGAUAUAGAUACUGAAACAAUUACUUGCUAAGAGCAAUCUUGAAGGUAUGGAUAAGGCCCUGAGUCAUCUUCCUGAGCUGAAUGAUAGUUAAGCUGAAUGUACGUAUAAAAUAUGAUUUUCUAACCACUUGCUCGCCAACAAGGAAAACUUUUAAGUAGAGCAGAACCUGAAUAGACAAGACAUUUCUUUCUUUUGGUAGAAAAUGAUUUACCAUCACUGUGUAGUUAAUUGUAGACUAGGUAAUUUUAACUUUGUGAUUUAUUGCCGGAGACAUUUUCUUCUGUACUGUAAAGUGUGUGUCAAAAAAAAAUAGCGAUUUUGGAGGAUUAGGGGACUUUGAUAAAUUGCCUGCAAUUCUGGCAGUAUGAACUGCAUAUUAAUUUCUCUCUGUCAAGAACAUUUUUAUUUAUUAAUUCCUUACAAAAACUCCCUAAACUUUGGAACAGCUCUCAAUUGCCUGUAUUCUUUUUUUUCUUAUUAUGGUACUCUUCUAGAGAUUUGGCUUGCAUCUGUGAAUAAGCCAGGACAUCUUCAGAAAUUGUCUGAUUAAAAACACCACCAAUGGAGUUUCAUUAAAUUUGUAUUGCUCUGACUAGUGAAACACACACAUCUAUGUUGCUGAGGAUAUUUUACUGCAGUUCGAGUUGUAAUAAUAGCUCUGUUUAAGAUCCGUCAGUCACUUGAAUCUUCUCUAAGGCUUUGUAUGUUAGAAGUUAAUUUGCUUUCUUACAAGGCCACAUUCUAUCUUGUAACUAAACAACUGAAUUUUAUGUCUUAGCGUAGAUGGUUUAUUACUUUCUGGUUUUUCUUUAGUAAGAAUCCUAUAAAAACACUAGUAUUUUUCUCUGAGUUUAAAAUUCAAUACAUGCCUACUGAUAUGGUUAGGCUUUGUAUCCCCACCUGAAUCUCGUCUUGAAUUGUAAUCCCCAUAGCCCCCAUAAUCCCCACAGGUCAAGGGAGAGACCAGGUGGAGGUAAUUGAAUCAUGGGGGCAGUUUCCCCUGUGCUGUUCUUGUGAUAGUGAGUUCUCACGAGAUUUGAUGGUUUUAUAAGGGAUUCUUUCCCCUUUGCUCGGCACUUCUUCAUGCUGCCUUGCGAAGAAGCUGGCUUGCUUCCUCUUUGUCUUCCGCCAUGAUUGUAGAUUUCCUGAGGCCUCCCAAGCUGUGCUGAACUGUGAGCCAAUUAAACUUCUUUCCUUUAUA